AGAGAGAGACAUGCGCGCAUAUCAAUAAGCGGAGGAAAAGAAACUAACAAGGAUUCCCUUAGUAACGGCGAGUGAAGCGGGAAGAGCUCAAAUUUGAAAUCUUCAAGGUUUUACCUUGACGAAUUGUAGUUUAAAGAAGUGUUUUCUGCUGAAGUUUUGGUAAAAGUUCUUUGGAAUAGGACAUCAUAGAGGGUGAGAAUCCCGUAUUUGACCAUUAUUUUCAGCUUUGUGAUACACUUUCAAAGAGUCGGAUUGUUUGGGAAUGCAGUCCAAAAUGGGUGGUAAAUUUCAUCUAAAGCUAAAUAUUGGCGAGAGACCGAUAGCGAACAAGUACCGUGAGGGAAAGAUGAAAAGAACUUUGAAAAGAGAGUUAAACAGUACGUGAAAUUGUCAAAAGGGAAGCGUUUGACACCAGUGUUGUUUUCUCGAAAAUCAAUUAAAAAUGGCUCGAUUUUGUAUUGCUGAGACCUUAAAAGCUCACUGUACAUUUUUCGUGUCUUUUUUAAUGCACUUUUCGUUUAACAAGUCAACAUCAGUUUCUUUUGUUGUAAAAGGGUCAUUGGAAGGUGGCUUUCUUUUCGGAGAAAGUGUUUAUAGCCUUUGGCCUCUGCAAUCGGAAGAGACUGAGGUCUGCAGCGUAGACUCUUCGGGGUUAGAUACAUUUGUGCUAAGUUAUAGCUUUUUAUAGGCAACUUGUUGACUAUAAUUAGUCUUGUAGCUUACUCGCUUAUGCUAUUUUACCUACGCUUAGGAUGUUGAAGAUGUAGCACAUCAU
rnacentral:rRNA from 1 species